rnacentral:rRNA from 2 species
CGGACGGGAUUGAGGAGCUUGCUCUUCAUGAGAGUGGCGCACGGGUGCGUAACACGUAUGCAACCUACCUUUGUCAGGGGGAUAGCCUCUCGAAAGAGAGAUUAAGACCGCAUAACAUUACAAUGUGGCAUCACAAAGUAAUCAAAUAUUUAUAGGACAAAGAUGGGCAUGCGGAACAUUAGCUAGUUGGUGAGGUAACGGCUCACCAAGGCGACGAUGUUUAGGGGAUCUGAGAGGAUGACCCCCCACACUGGUACUGAGACACGGACCAGACUCCUACGGGAGGCAGCAGUAAGGAAUAUUGGUCAAUGGACGGAAGUCUGAACCAGCCAUGCCGCGUGCAGGAAGACGGCCCUACGGGUUGUAAACUGCUUUUGCAGGGGAAUAAACCUCAUUACGUGUAAUGAGCUGAAUGUACUCUGAGAAUAAGGAUCGGCUAACUCCGUGCCAGCAGCCGCGGUAAUACGGAGGAUCCAAGCGUUAUCCGGAUUUAUUGGGUUUAAAGGGUGCGUAGGUGGCCUGUUAAGUCAGGGGUGAAAGACGGUAGCUUAACUAUCGCAGUGCCCUUGAUACUGAUGGGCUUGAAUGAACUAGAGGUAGGCGGAAUGUGACAAGUAGCGGUGAAAUGCAUAGAUAUGUCACAGAACACCAAUUGCGAAGGCAGCUUACUAUGGUUUUAUUGACACUGAGGCACGAAAGCGUGGGGAUCAAACAGGAUUAGAUACCCUGGUAGUCCACGCCCUAAACGAUGAAUACUCGAUGUUGGCGAUAUACGGUCAGCGUCUAAGCGAAAGCGUUAAGUAUUCCACCUGGGGAGUACGCCCGCAAGGGUGAAACUCAAAGGAAUUGA